rnacentral:lncRNA from 1 species
CCUACUUCUCCUUUCCACCAAUUUUCCAUGGAUACCACCUCUUCUAUUCCACAACCGGUUGGGACCACCAACAACACAACCCACGCUACUACGACAACUACAACCAAUCUUCCCCCUUCUUUUUCUCCUAUACGGCCACCAAAAAUCCAACUAUCCUUCUUUGAUGGUACUGACCCUUUAGAUUGGUUAUUCCAAGCUGACCAAUUUUUUGAAUUUUAUAAUAUUCCUUGGGAUGCUCGUUUGAAUAUGGCUGCCUUCUACAUGAGAGGUGAUGCACUCAGCUGGUUUAAAUGGAUGUACCAAAAUCAUCAACUUACUGACUGGAUUUCUUUUUGUCGCGCCCUAGAACUCCAUUUUGGGCCUUUCACAUAUGAAAAUCAUCAGGCUGAGCUGUUUAAACUACGCCAAACCUCCACAGUUGCGGAAUAUCAAAAGCGGUUUGAGAAAAUUUGCAACAGAGUGAUGGGUUUACAUCCCGAGAUGAUCCUUAACUGUUUCUUAUCUGGCCUAAUCCCAGAAAUUCGAAGAGAAAUAGCAGUUUUGCAACCCACUUCCAUCACCUAGGCCAUGGGCCUAGCCAAGCUUUUAGAAUCUAAAAUCCAAGAUUUUAAACAACAUUUUCGUUUUUCCCAUACCUUACCCCAACCAUUCAAUCAUUUAUUACCCUCACCUUGUCCCUCUCCCCCUCCCAAUACAACAUCCCAUGCAACCCCUUCCAUACCUAUCAAAAAACUCACAUCAACCCAACUCCAAGAGCGUAGAGCUGCUGGUUUGUGUUAUAACUGUGAUGAAAAAAAAUUUCCAGGGCAUAAGUGCACCACCCAUCAUUUUCUUCUUUUACUAAGUGAUGAUUGUCCUGAAGAACACAUUAUGGAAGACUAUCCUACCACCUUCAACGACCAACCCACAGACACACCUACACACAUUCACCUCUCCUUCCAAGCCUUAUGUGGAGCUCCCUCAGCCCACACUUUUACCUUUGAUGGCUACAUUGGCCAUCUUCCUGUUACCAUUCUCAUAGAUACAGGAAGUUCCCAUAACAUUAUUCAACCUCGUUUGGCCCUUCACCUCCAACUUUGCACUGUUCCUAUCACACCUUUCUCAGUUAUGGUUGGAAAUGGCAACAAAAUCCAGUGUUCCUCUUUUUGCCCUGAUGCUCCCGUUUCUAUACACACCUAUACCUUUUCCAUUUCUUUUUACCUCUUACCUAUCGAAGGAGUUGAUGUUGUCAUGGGAAUGGAUUGGUUGCGUUCUUUGGGCCCCUUAAUGGCUAAUUUUUCUAAGCCGCAACUAUCUUUUACCCACAAUGGGUUACCCAUUACACUACACGGUACCACAAAUCUACUACGCAGUCAAGCUUCCUUCACUCAUCUUUGCCAUAUGUUACACAUAGAUUCCAUUUCGUCUCUACAUCUCCUCACUAUUGACCCACUGCCAUCACCAUCCAGCCUUCACAGAUUAUCCAAACCCUCAGCUAUAUCCCAUCUUUUACAAACAUAUAGUUUAGUUUUCUCUUCUCCCCAUGGACUACCUCCACACAGACCUCACAAUCAUCACAUUCCCCUUAUUCCACACUCUUCCCCAAUUAACAUUAAACCCUACCGCUACCCACAUGCUCACAAGCACACCAUGACCUCCCUCAUUCAGGAAAUGCUCAACGAAGGCAUUAUCCGCCCAGCACAAGCCCCUUUUCUUCCCCAGUUAUCCUCAUCAAAAAGAAAGAUGGCACCUGGCGUUUUUGUGUGGAUUAUAGAGGACUAAACGCCAUUACUGUUAAAGACCGUUUUCUUAUUCCAACUAUUGAUGAAUUGUUGGAUGAAGUGACCACUGCCAAGGUUUUCACCAAACUGGACUUACGUUCAGGUUACCACCAAAUUUGAGUUAAUCCUACAGAUUGGCACAAAACCGCUUUUAGAACCUUUGAAGGCCAUUACGAGUUCUUAGUUAUGCCUUUCGGCCUUGCUAAUGCACCAUCUACCUUUCAGGCAGCCAUGAAUGAUUUACUCAGGCCCCAUCUACGACACUUUGUCCUAGUUUUUUUUUUUAUGACAUUCUCAUUUACAGCAAAUCCAUGCAAGACCACAUUCACCACCUCACUUUGAUCCUUCAAUUAUUAGACACUCAUAAAUUCUUUGUUAAGGAAUCAAAAUGUGUGUUUGCCACAACCAGAGUCUCAUACCUGGGCCAUCUUUUGGAAGAAGGCACAGUGGCUCCAGAUCCAGAUAAAAUCAAGGCUAUCAUACGUUGGCCUAAACCUACAUCCCUUACUACCCUACGUGCGUUUCUGGGUAUUACGGGAUUUUAUCGGAAGUUCAUCAUCAACGUUUACAUGGAAUACAAAUGCAGAGGAAGCCUUUACAAAAUUGAAAAAUAUCCUAACUACGACUCCAGUAUUGAGUCUUCCGAAUUUCGCCAUACCGUUCGUGGUAGAAACCAACGCCUCCAACAUAGCAAUUGGAGUUGUGCUAUCCCAAGAAGGUCACCCCAUUGCUUUCUUCAGCAAUAAACUUUGCCAAAAAAUGCAAGCUAGCUCGGCAUAUGUCAAGGAAAUGCUAGCUAUAACAGAAGCUGUCAAAAAGUGGCGUCAUUAUCUCAUAGGUACACAUUUCACAGUAAUAACAGACCAACAAAGCUUAAAGGGGUUACUUACCAAUGCAUGCCACACACCAGAACAACAAAAGUGGGCUACCAAGCUGCUUGAAUACAGUUUUGACAUCCGAUACCGCCUAGGCCGCCAAAAUCAAACUGCUGAUUUCUUGUCCCGGCCACCCCAAUCCCUCCUUUUGGCCAUAUCUUCCCCGAUUCCGAACAUGUUCAAGGAAUUACAAGAUUAUUACAAAACAAAAAAGGGAGAAGAAGAGGUUCACAGAUUAAUUUCAUUACCUGACACUCAUUACAGUUUUCACCACGACCUUCUAUACCAUGCUCAAAGAUUAUACGUUCCUUCCAUAGAGCACAUUCGUUCGGCCAUACUCCACGAGUUCCAUGCUUCUCCCACCGCCGGCCACUCAGGCAUUAAGGCCACCAUGGCGAGGCUCGUAGCCUCCUUUUUCUGGCCUGGUAUGUACCGCGACACCAAAAGAUAUAUCAAGGAAUGCCUACCCUGCCAACAAAACAAAUCAUUACAUCAGAAACCUUGUGCAUUACUCCAACCCAUACCCAUACCAACCAAACUGUGGGAAGAACUAACUACAAAUUUCAUCACGCACCUACCUUCAUCUUUUGGGCACACAGUCAUCUGGGUUGUUUGUGACAGGCUCUCCAAAUCAGCCCACUUCAUCGCCCUCCCCACGUCCUUCACAGCCAACCAUUUAGCUAACCGUUUUUCUAUUGAAAUUUGCAGGUUACAUGGAGUCCCUAAAUCCAUCAUUUCAGACCGUGAUCCAGUGUUCCAGGGCCGUUUUUGGAAGGAGUUGUUUCAUCUGCAAGGCACAAAAUUAAAGUUCAGUACGGCGUAUCACCCCCAAACCGAAGUUAUAAAUCGUUGUUUAGAAGCUUACCUUAGGUGUUUUACCAGUGAAAACCCUCGAACAUGGUAUCGCUAUCUCCACCUUGCGGAGUUUUAGUACAACUCCUCAUACCAGUCGACCAUCAAAACUACACCCUUCCAGGCUCUGUAUGGACGAUUGCCUCCUUCCAUUCCAGAUUAUGUUCCAGGAACUGCCACAAAACCAACACUGGACACCACGCUACAGGACCGUGCGCGAAUGCUGCACCAGUUAAAAGCCACGCUGAAAGCAAACAAAUCAAGACGUGAUUACCAUUUUUUAGAAAACGACUGGGUACUGCUUCGACGACAAGCUUACCGCCAGACAUCACUCUCGUCCAAGACUCACAAUAAGCUUGGACAAAGGUUCUUCGGUCCCUAUCCCGUUAAACGACGCAUCGGUAAAGUGGCAUAUGAACUUUUCCUUCCCCUGUCAUCACGUAUCCAUCCAGUCUUCCACAUCUCUCUUCUCAAACCUUAUCACGGCCCAACCCCACCGUCGCAUUUCCAAUUCCCUCUCGAAACAGAGAACCCAAUAAUACCAACCCACGACCUCCCAACUCUCUUCCCAAACUACACUUCACAUUCUGAGAUUUCUAAUACUCCUUCUACCUCAUUAAACACGAACCCAACUAAAGAACCCACAAAAGCCGCAUCUGCAGACACGUGGAAACCAUCUACGGUCCACGCCCCACUUAAACUGGCACCACCCUCUUUUGCAUGUGACCUUACACUUCCCAAAGCCCCACCAGCUGUAAUCCACGCACCAAAACCACUCAU